AAUUAUAUUUUCACAUGCCUUAAUAUUUUAUAAGUGCAUGGAGGGAGGGCUUUUUUCUUAGGGAUUGAGUUCAUUUUGUUCUUUCUCAAUGCUAGUACAAGUAACAAGACUCCAAUAGGUAGUUGGAGUUGUGCAUCUUAUUCAUGUUUGUUUCUAUAAUUCUCUUAAAUAAUUUUUAAUAUUCACCCACCUCCAUGCAAGCAAUCUUACCCUACAAUUCAAUCAUGGCUAUGGACUCCAAUUUAUGUGAUACUAGGGGUAUAGGAAUCAGCAAACGCAUCCAGACAUCUCAACUAGAUUUACAUAUCUAUAGUGCUCUCAUCACGCUUCGACUCCAAAAGCAAUACAUCAGUGAUCAAUAUUUAUGAGUAAUCCACCUCCGUUUUAAUGUUUAAAAUAUUUAUUUAAUAUUAUAUUAUAUCAUCUUUCACUUUUUUUUUUUUUUUGUCUCAAGAGUCCCAUUUAAUUAAUUAACCGUUUUAAUUUGUAACAAACACAAUUAAUAAUUCUUACUUCUACCUUAGUACAAACAUUUUACUAUUUAUUUAAGUAGGAGGGAAUCAACUUUUGAUUUAUUACAUAGUUAUUUAAUUUCUUUUUCCAUGAUAUGAAGCCCUAUCCUAGUACUCUCCAUGAGGAAGGUUUUGUGCAUUUCAAGGCCAACUUCAAAAGACAUCAAAGGAAGCUUGCACCAAAGACGCCUUGUUCUUACCAACCUUAUUACUACGAUCUUAAUAAGGAUGUGCAUAAAAACCAAAAAAAAAAAAAAAUGGAAAAAUCAAACCGAACCAACUCUAAAAAAUUUUUGUUUCUACGGUUAAUUCAAUUUGAAAUAUUAAGAAAAUAAAAUAAAAUGUGAUUUGAUUUGAUUUGGAGCUCAAAAAUUAAAUCCCAAUCCCAAACCAUAGCACAUAAAUACCACAUAUGUAUGUGAGUGUAUAUGUAUGAUGUGUAUGUGUGGGAGUGUGGGAGUGCGUUUAAUUAAUUAAAUAAUAAUUUAAUAUCAAUUUAAUUCAAUUUGAGAAUUUAGAUUUUUGAAUUUAAUUAAUUUAGAAUUAAUUAAAUUAGAUUUUAGUUAAUUUUGGAAUUAAUUAAAAUUAGAAGUCGAAAAUAGAAUUUAAUUGAGUUUGUGAAAUUAUCCACAAUUUGGUGGAUUAAUUCUUAAUUCAACACCUGGUCACAACUUGCAAGUGAAAAUUGAAGUGGCAUUGACCAAUGCCUCAAUGCUUGCAUGAAGAUGAUACAUAAAACUCUAAAAAAUUGUUGAUGAAGAUGAGAAAGUUGCUGAAUAAUCAGUUUUCAGCAAAGAAAAUGUUCUUCACCUGAAACCCAUUCUAUUCCCUUCACAAAUUCACUUCAAUCUUGAGUUCCACCACUCAAAUUCAAGGCUGAGAAUAGUAUAGAAGAUCUCUUGGUGGUUCGCUGAAGAUUUGGAGUUGAGAAUUCGUGAGGAGCAGCUUGGAUCGGAGGGAAAUUCUUCAAAGGUAUGUGAUUCUUGAAACCAUCUAAUUACCCUAUGAACAUGCUAAUUCUGAUGUCAAAAUUAAGGAAUUAGAACACUUAAUGAUCAUGUUUUCUUCCGCUGCGUGUUUCUGUAUUCCAACAAUUGGUGUGUGCAUAUCCGUUGAAAUCAAAGAAUCUAAUUAUGAACAAAACUGAAAUAUAGUUCGGUUCAAUGUAAUUAUGAUUGAACAUAUGAAGUUCACUUUGGUUUAAUUUACAUUUUAAUUUUCAAUUUAGUUUUAGUUUGGCCCCAACCAAUUAUCAAAUCCAACUGUGAACAUUUCUAGCUAGUUCUUAAUGUAUACCUCUAAUCUUCCUUUUUCUCAUUUCUUUUCCAUCAAAAUAUGAGGAAAAAACUAAAUCCUUGUAGUUAGAUUUGUUGUAGAUGGGGCUUAAAAUCGAUUUACCAACUUUUCAUAUUGAGUACAAAAACCUUUUUUCAAUGAGAUUUUUAUCAUUGCAUAAAAGUGAUUGAUUUUCUUUUUCCUACAAUAAUAGUGAUAUUUAUGACCUUUCAAACUAAUUAACAUAUAUUUAAUUAAUUCUUUAAGGGUCAAAGUGAACAUAACUCAACUGAUAUAUAGAUGUGUUAUUUAGCGAUGGACUUGAAUCCUCCCAUCUUAUUGUAUAUAAAAAAAAAACUCAUUUAUUAGAAAGUCAUAUCCUCAUGUUAUGCCCAAUGUACAAUUAGCUAUGUAAAAAUAAGCAAGGUAAGCAAUAAAACAAAAAUUACAACAAAUUAAAUUACAUUACUAAAUAUUCAAAUAUUGAAUUAGAAGACAAUAUCUACAAGUCUUAAUUGCUUUCACCAUCGUUGGAUUGGUGUUUCUUAAAGUUAGCACAGAUUAAGAAUACAUCCCAUCAGCGUGCUAAUUAAACACCAACUUGUUUCUUAAUAAUCCUCCAUCUACAUCUAACUAUGUGGUUUGUUUGACUAAACACGCACGUACUUACCAAUUGUUCGUUAAACGUGUGUGAUCACGUUACAAUAAAACUGAGAUUUCAUGAUAUUUAAAAAUUGGUAGAUUUAAAAUUUGUGACAAUUAUUUUCAGUCAUUGUGUCAUCUAUAAAGAUAUGCAUAUCAACCAUAGUUUUUUUUAAAAUGUCAUAAUUGGUCUUCUCAUGACAAUAAAUAAGCGUCAACAAUGAAAAAAUAUUGACAAUUAUAAACUAUCAUUGUCAAAUAUAUUAUGACCGAUUAUUAUUGUCAUCAAUUGACUAAAAAUUGAGUAUUUUAUGUAGCGUUAUGGACAUUGACAAUAAUUAUAAAAUGUCAAAAAAUAAUAAUUAGUGACAUUUUUUUUUCUUGUCAAGAAUAUAUGAACCAUGACAUUUUAUUGUCAAGAAUAUAUGAACCAUGACACUUUAUUGUCAAGAAUAUUUUAAACAAUAACAAUUAUUUUAUGUCAACAAAUGUUCAAUGACGGCACAUUUUUAUUGUCACAUAAUUUCAUAUUUAUGACACUUCUAUAUUAUCAAUAAUAUACAGGUCUUCAUAGUUUAUUAUUUCUUUGAAUCUUGUCAUUGUACACAUGAUUCUAUAAUCAACUAAUCUUAUUUUAACACAAAAUCGAUACAAACAUAAAUAAGAACUUUCAUAUAUAAGAAUAAAGUUGACAACGGUUUUACAAAGAAACUAAAUACAACAAACCAUCGAAUGUCCCCAAAGGGACAAAUACAAACAAACUAAUAACCAAACUUGGUAAAUUUUUUAAAAAGAAACUAAAUACAAUGAGGUAUUACUAAGAUUGACUACCUUGUAGCAAGUUUUGUCACUAACCAAACGUCAAACACUUGCUUGGUAGCUUCACCACUUCACUAGGUUCGUGCAUGACCUAGUAAAAAACACAAUAUUAAACCUUAAUUCAACACUUUGAGUUAGUCCCAACCUACAACAAAGAAUUUCCAAGAGUUAUAAACUAGGUUCAACAUUUAAAAAGAGUUCGAAAUGAUCUAAGUGAAACUUGAGCACUAAAAACUUAUAAAACAAUCUUAAACCUUAAUUCAAACACUCUAUAUCAGUCCUGAAUUAUAAAGAGAGAGUAAGAGUUGAAUAACGUACCACAUUUACAUCGUGAAUAAAAUUUUCUCGACCACUCACCCUGAAAAAUCAUAUGAUACAGAACAUACUUUAAACCACAAUAGUCCAAGAAAAUGCAUAGGACAACAUACUUUUAAAUUUGGUAAGAAUAAGUUAACUAACAAUUAACAUUAACAUAAAAUCGUAGUAAGGUAUAUUCAUGGAACCACAAAAGGCACUACCACAUUUCAAAUAAAUAACUCAUAAUUUAUUUUCAGACUUAGAAUAUGUUGGGUCAUAUUCUCAACCACAUAAUAAUUUAUAUCAUAUUUGAGAUUUGCAACAUAUUCUGAAUUAAAAAAAAAAAAAAAAAAAAAAAAAAAAAAAAAAAAAAANAAAAAAAAA